rnacentral:rRNA from 1 species
GACGAACGCUGGCGGCGUGCCUAAUACAUGCAAGUAGAACGCUGAAGGAGGAGCUUGCUUCUCUGGAUGAGUUGCGAACGGGUGAGUAACGCGUAGGUAACCUGCCUGGUAGCGGGGGAUAACUAUUGGAAACGAUAGCUAAUACCGCAUAAGAGUAGAUGUUGCAUGACAUUUGCUUAAAAGGUGCAAUUGCAUCACUACCAGAUGGACCUGCGUUGUAUUAGCUAGUUGGUGGGGUAACGGCUCACCAAGGCGACGAUACAUAGCCGACCUGAGAGGGUGAUCGGCCACACUGGGACUGAGACACGGCCCAGACUCCUACGGGAGGCAGCAGUAGGGAAUCUUCGGCAAUGGACGGAAGUCUGACCGAGCAACGCCGCGUGAGUGAAGAAGGUUUUCGGAUCGUAAAGCUCUGUUGUAAGAGAAGAACGAGUGUGAGAGUGGAAAGUUCACACUGUGACGGUAUCCGACCAGAAAGGGACGGCUAACUACGUG